rnacentral:ncRNA from 1 species
GCACGAUAAUGGCAAACUUCGAGUGAUCGGGGGACGCAAAGGAAAGGGUCUUUAAUCCGCAAAGAUGGCAUGCACCUGACAUAAAAAAAGCUCUAGCUAUAGCCAAGGUUUAAAGAUAGCCCUCCUGCCGAA